GAGCCGACUUGAGUCAGCUUGCUUCCAAUGGUCAGCGGCGGACGGGUGAGUCACACGUGGGUCACCUGCCUGACAGAUCGGGAUCACGCUUGGAAACGAGUGCUAAUCACCGGAUAGGCUCUUGCUUCGCAUGAAGCGAGAGGGAAAGAGGCUUUUGCCUCACUGUCAGAUGGACCCGCGGCGCAUUAGCUAGUUGGUGAGGUAACGGCUCACCAAGGCGACGAUGCGUAGCCGACCUGAGAGGGUGACCGGCCACACUGGGACUGAGACACGGCCCAGACUCCUACGGGAGGCAGCAGUAGGGAAUCUUCCGCAAUGGGCGCAAGCCUGACGGAGCAACGCCGCGUGAGUGAUGAAGGCCUUCGGGUUGUAAAACUCUGUCUUCUGUGAAGAACAAUUGCGUGAUUGGAAUGCUCGCAACCUGACGGUAACAGAGGAGGAAGCCCCGGCUAACUACGUGCCAGCAGCCGCGGUAAU
rnacentral:rRNA from 1 species